rnacentral:rRNA from 1 species
UACGGGGGGGGCAAGCGUUGUUCGGAAUUACUGGGCGUAAAGGGUUCGUAGGUGGCCCGCUAAGUCAGACGUGAAAUCCCUCAGCUCAACUGGGGAACUGCGUCUGAUACUGGUGGGCUUGAGUGCAGGAGAGGAACGCGGAAUUCCAGGUGUAGCGGUGAAAUGCGUAGAUAUCUGGAGGAACACCGGUGGCGAAGGCGGCGUUCUGGACUGCAACUGACACUGAUGAACGAAAGCCAGGGGAGCAAACGGG